GAGGGUACAGCUCAAGGGGUAGAGUGUGUGUUUAGCAUGCACAAGGUUCUGGGUUCGAUCCCCAGUACCUCCU
rnacentral:tRNA from 1 species